AGCCAUGCGAGUCGACAUAGCAAUAUGUGGCAUACGGCUCAGUAACACGUAGUCAACAUGCCCAGGGGACGUGGAUAACCUCGGGAAACUGAGGAUAAACCGCGAUAGGUCAUCACUUCUGGAAUGGGUAAUGACUUAAACCUAUAUGGCCCCUGGAUUGGACUGCGGCCGAUCAGGCUGUUGGUGAGGUAAUGGCCCACCAAACCUGUAACCGGUACGGGCUCUGAGAGGAGGAGCCCGGAGAUGGGCACUGAGACAAGGGCCCAGGCCCUAUGGGGCGCAGCAGGCGCGAAACCUCUGCAAUAGGCGAAAGCUUGACAGGGUUACUCUGAGUGAUUUCCGUUAAGGAGAUCUUUUGGCACCUCUAAAAAUGGUGCAGAAUAAGGGGUGGGCAAGUCUGGUGUCAGCCGCCGCGGUAAUACCAGCACCCCGAGUGGUCGGGACGUUUAUUGGGCCUAAAGCAUCCGUAGCCGGUUCUACAAGUCUUCCGUUAAAUCCACCUGCUUAACAGAUGGGCUGCGGAAGAUACUAUAGAGCUAGGAGGCGGGAGAGGCAAGCGGUACCCGACGGGUAGGGGUAAAAUCCGUU
rnacentral:rRNA from 1 species